rnacentral:lncRNA from 1 species
GAUGAAGGAUGCCCAAUCGGUGGCUGGCUUUGGAGGCCAUCUUGUAAAUAUGGACUGCCCAAGAAAGAUCAUGGCUGAUGUUGUGAAUGCCGACACCGUAUCACAGCCUGUGAAAGCAUGAAACAUUGGAAGAGCCCGAAUCUUCAAAGGACCAAGUGACCGAGCAAUUUCAUGCGCAGGUCGCAAUUCGAAACCGAUCUUCACGAAACUUUGCCACAUGGUAGAGUUUGUCAAAAGCAAGAAGCCUUUUUGUUUUUCAGGUCAAAAGGUCAAAAUGUCAACAAAGGCCAAAGAUCAACAACUGAGAAUUGUCUGAGCCAAAGACUGCCCAGGAACAUCAAACAAAUGCAGCUGAUGCGAGUUCCAGGUCAGCUAUUCCCGACUUUGUAACUCGAGACGAUGCUUUAAAAACAGAGCUACUUUGGGCCUGCAGUAUUAUUGAGUUAUACUACCUGUACAAGUCAUGCAAGGGGAUAGACCUUUUCCAAAAAAUGUUUCCAGAUAGCUCAACUUUGCUGCUCAGUUCAAAUGUGCUGAGACAAAGGCUGCCUAUUUGAAUGUAUUUCACCUCAUUUCCAAACUCUCUUGAAAAAGGAAGUGAACAGCAAAUAUGUGCUCCUUUUUGACAAGUCCUUUGGGCAAAAAGAAUCGGAAGAAGCAACUAGAUUUUACAUAAAACUAUGGGAAAAAGAUAAAGUCAAGUUCAGACACCUUGACUCUCAUUGCAUGGCUGAUUCCAAUUUGUUCGACAUGGCAGAACUGAUGACAUGCUGACCGAACUACCUUCAGUUUUGAAAGGCCUGAAUCCGUGAAAUAUCAUAAAACUCAGUAUGGAUGGCCCAAUUGUUAACUGGAAGUUUCACAACAGUGUACUGGUUGAUGCGGAGACUAAUUACGGCAAGUCAUUAUUACAUUUGGGAUCCUGUGGUGAGCAUAUUAUUUACCAUGUCAACAGACAGCAUAGCUAUCACAGUUAUUUCGGCCAAGUUGUGAUCAAGUGAGUGCUGUGUGAAGUACCAAACACUAAGUAAGGCCUCAGUGAGUAUCCAAAGGUGGUACAGAGCUGUAAAGCUGGUCAGCAAACAUGGAAGAGGUUGCAG